rnacentral:lncRNA from 1 species
GAUUCAUCAAGCACCGCUUUCAAUUUUUCGCAAAAUUCAAUUCUCUCCGAUGGAAAUCACGGCGUGCGCUGAGGAUCUCUCGGGCAUCUUUAUUUUUAGGGAUCCGCCGUGUUUUGAUGCGUGAAGUUGGUAUUUUCAUGAAAACUAAUUAGGUUUAGAUGGCUUACAUGGUUUUAUCAUUUUAGAUCUCUCGAUCCGGUGGCUUUGGUGAAAGCUAAUUAGGUUUCGCUACCUUCAAAUUGGGGCCUUGGUUGUUUUGUGUCGAGUCAUAUGCCUAUUCCUUGGAUCUGAGUGUCUCCGGUAGAUAUUCUCGAGGAUAUAGUGCUGUGGAUAACAUAUUUGCAGGCCUGUUUUGAUGCCAUUAUUCCGAGAAACUCCUGGGGCUCAUUAUUUCAUUACUUGUUUGUUCAUUUUUCUUUAAUUAUAUCUGCUACUGACGCUAGCUCGAUCUUAAUUUUAGAUUUUACUGCUAAAUGGCUUAACGAAAAUUUUUCAAUCUUUCACUUUACAGAUACCUUAUGCUGUUUUCAGCGUCAAUAUUUAGAUUUUGGCAACUUCAGUUAUUGAUAUGCGGUUGAUUAAAGCACGCUUUGUUAAUGUUAAGAGUGUUCUGUAAAAAGAAAUUAGUAUGCUGUUCUGUCUGCUUAAAACGAUCACUGUAUUGAUGCUUGUUGCAUUGACACGUGAACUGUCUUGAUCAUAACCAUAGUUAGUUAAUUCGGAUUCGGCAAAAAUUCGGUACAGAUAUAAUUCGGAUAAAAUUCGUCUUCUAAUUUUUAAAUUCGUUGAAAAAAAGGGCUAAAAAACGGAUUCGCCAAUUAUUCGGAUACGUGAUUUAUACGGAUAUUAUACGUUCACUAAUUAAAAAUUCGGGAUCAAAAAUUCGGCUAUUAAAUUAAUUUUUUUUUUUCUCUCAAGAUUUAUGCUAUGAGCAUAAAUAUUCAUAUUUUUUAAGAAUAUAAGAAUAAAGAGCUACAAAAUUAAACUAAGUAAGUAAAAAAAAUAGUAAACUAUAUUAUGCCUCAAAAUAAAGAAAUAAUUAAGCAAAUAGAGAUCAAGAUAGUCCAUAUUUAAAUUGCUGCAUUUCUAAUACUAAAAAGUUAUGUUUCAAAAAUUAAGUAGAAACCCCACUGAGUCAAUGGUCCAUGAAAGACCACAACAAAAUUUUCUUUUGCAAGUGUCGACAGUACAAGAUCAUGAAAUUGAUUAGGUAUAAUAGAAGAGUUCCUGGUCCCUAAGUUAAUUAAGAUUAUUUAGCUCUAUGUUUGGGUCUUCUUUGUGCAUAACAGAGAAUGGACACAUUCAAUUAAGCACUCGAGAUUAAGUUAAGGCCCAAAAUAAAAAUUUAAAAUCAAUAUGCGAAUCUGUACAAAUAAACUAGAAAAUGAUGAUUUAAUCCUCGACUAUAUCAAUAUGCGAAUCCGAAUUAACUAACUAACUAUGAAUUAACCAACUAUGAUUUAAUCCUCUUCGAUCUUCGAUUUCUGAAGAGGAGGGCUUCCGAUGGCGUUCGGUGAGCGGCCGGAAGGGAAGAGGGGGAGGGGAAGGGACCGCGACUGCCGCAGGGGUCGGUGGCAGGGCGGCUCCGCCGCAGGGGUCGGUGGCAAGGCCGCACCGCCGCAGGGGUGAGAAGUUAGGGCAAACCCUUUUUUUGGGAGGAGUGGGGGUGGGACUCGAGGUGGGAGGGGGGCGAUCAUUUCACUUCAGAUUUCAGAAAGUUUUUUUUUUUUUUUUUGGCCUUUUGGGCGACAGGGUGAGGGCCGUGACUCGUGAGGCAAAACGGGUUUUGGGCGAGGAAAAACGGGUUUUGGGCCGGUUUUUUGGGCCGAAUUAUUCGCGAAUUCCGUUUAAUUCGCGAAUAAUUCUUUUUACCCAAAAAAAGGCGAAUUUUUCCGAAUUUUUGGGAAAAAUACGAAAACGGGAGUUUUAUUCGGCAUUUCAAAAAUUCGCGAAUAAUUCGCGAAUAAUUCGCGAAUUAACUAACUAUGAUCAUAACCAUUUUCUAUACGUAUAUCGGUUCAUUUUCAUUCGCUGGUUUUCAUAAAUACUGGGAUGAAUCAAAACAUUUUUUUUUUUUGUUUUGGUUGGUUGGG